UACGAACCGUGCGAACGUUGCUCGGAAUCACUGGGCUUAAAGGGCGCGUAGGCGGGCUGACAAGUCUGGGGUGAAAUGCCGCGGCUCAACCGUGGAACUGCCUUAGAUACUGUCGGCCUCGAGGGAGGUAGGGGCAUGCGGAACUGUGGGUGGAGCGGUGAAAUGCGUUGAUAUCCUCAGGAACUCCGGUGGCGAAAGCGGCGUGCUGGACCUCUUCUGACGCUGAGGCGCGAAAGCUAGGGGAGCAAACGGG
rnacentral:rRNA from 1 species